rnacentral:rRNA from 1 species
AUGAACGCUAGCUACAGGCUUAACACAUGCAAGUCGAGGGGCAGCAUGGUCUUAGCUUGCUAAGACUGAUGGCGACCGGCGCACGGGUGAGUAACACGUAUCCAACCUGCCGUCUACUCUUGGACAGCCUUCUGAAAGGAAGAUUAAUACAAGAUGGCAUCAUGAGUCCGCAUGUUCACAUGAUUAAAGGUAUUCCGGUAGACGAUGGGGAUGCGUUCCAUUAGAUAGUAGGCGGGGUAACGGCCCACCUAGUCUUCGAUGGAUAGGGGUUCUGAGAGGAAGGUCCCCCACAUUGGAACUGAGACACGGUCCAAACUCCUACGGGAGGCAGCAGUGAGGAAUAUUGGUCAAUGGGCGAGAGCCUGAACCAGCCAAGUAGCGUGAAGGAUGACUGCCCUAUGGGUUGUAAACUUCUUUUAUAAAGGAAUAAAGUCGGGUAUGCAUACCCGUUUGCAUGUACUUUAUGAAUAAGGAUCGGCUAACUCCGUGCCAGCAGCCGCGGUAAUACGGAGGAUCCGAGCGUUAUCCGGAUUUAUUGGGUUUAAAGGGAGCGUAGAUGGAUGUUUAAGUCAGUUGUGAAAGUUUGCGGCUCAACCGUAAAAUUGCAGUUGAUACUGGAUAUCUUGAGUGCAGUUGAGGCAGGCGGAAUUCGUGGUGUAGCGGUGAAAUGCUUAGAUAUCACGAAGAACUCCGAUUGCGAAGGCAGCCUGCUAAGCUGCAACUGACAUUGAGGCUCGAAAGUGUGGGUAUCAAACAGGAUUAGAUACCCUGGUAGUCCACACGGUAAACGAUGAAUACUCGCUGUUUGCGAUAUACGGCAAGCGGCCAAGCGAAAGCGUUAAGUAUUCCACCUGGGGAGUACGCCGGCAACGGUGAAACUCAAAGGAAUUGACGGGGGCCCGCACAAGCGGAGGAACAUGUGGUUUAAUUCGAUGAUACGCGAGGAACCUUACCCGGGCUUAAAUUGCAGAUGAAUUACGGUGAAAGCCGUAAGCCGCAAGGCAUCUGUGAAGGUGCUGCAUGGUUGUCGUCAGCUCGUGCCGUGAGGUGUCGGCUUAAGUGCCAUAACGAGCGCAACCCUUGUUGUCAGUUACUAACAGGUUCCGCUGAGGACUCUGACAAGACUGCCAUCGUAAGAUGUGAGGAAGGUGGGGAUGACGUCAAAUCAGCACGGCCCUUACGUCCGGGGCUACACACGUGUUACAAUGGGGGGGUACAGAGGGCCGCUACCACGCGAGUGGAUGCCAAUCCCAAAAACCUCUCUCAGUUCGGACUGGAGUCUGCAACCCGACUCCACGAAGCUGGAUUCGCUAGUAAUCGCGCAUCAGCCACGGCGCGGUGAAUACGUUCCCGGGCCUUGUACACACCGCCCGUCAAGCCAUGGGAGCCGGGGGUACCUGAAGUGCGUAACCGCGAGGAGCGCCCUAGGGUAAAACUGGUGACUGGGGCU